AUUAUGAUGUUCUGCAGCAGCAGAGGUGUGUAUUAUGAUGUUCUGCAGCAGCAGAGGUGUGUUUUAUGAUGUUCUGCAGCAGAGAGGUGUGUAUUAUGAUGUUCUGCAGCAGCAGAGGUGUGUAUUAUGAUGUUCUGCAGCAGCAGAGGUGUGUAUUAUUAUGUUCUGCAGCAGCAGAGGUGUGUAUUACGAUGUUCUGCAGCAGAGGUGUGUAUUAUGAUGUUCUGCAGCAGA